rnacentral:rRNA from 1 species
CCUACGGGAGGCUGCAGUGGGGAAUAUUGCGCAAUGGGCGAAAGCCUGACGCAGCGACGCCGCGUGAGGGAUGAAGGUCUUCGGAUCGUAAACCUCUGUCAGCAGGGAAGAACGGUCACUGGGCUAAUCAGCAGUGAAUUGACGGUACCGGCAAAGGAAGCACGGGCUAACUCCGUGCCAGCAGCCGCGGUAAGACGGAGGGUGCGAGCGUUACUCGGAAUGACUGGGCGUAAAGCGCUCGUAGGCGGUAUGUCAAGUCAAGGGUGAAAUCCCCGCGCUCAACGUGGUAACUGCCUUUGAAACUGGCAAACUGGUGUGUGUGAGAGGAUAGUGGAAUUCCAGGUGU